GCCGGGCGAUCGCACCAAGUGUGAGGAAAGUCCGAGCAUCACAGGGCAGAGCGGCAGAGAAAUCCUGCCGGAGGCAACUCCAGGGAAAGUGCAACAGAAAAGAACCGCGAGAAUACUUCUCGUAAGGGUGAAAAGGUGCGGUAAGAGCGCACCGGCAGUUCGGCGACGAAAUUGGCCGUGUAAACCCCGCUCGAUGCAAGAGAAAAGGAAGAAUGGAUCGCCCGUCCCUUCCCUAAAUCGCUGGAACCCACAGGCGACUGCGGGUCAAGACAGAUGAUCGCCAAAUACAGAACUCGGCUUACAGACUAACCCG
rnacentral:RNase_P_RNA from 1 species